UACGUAGGGUGCGAGCGUUAUUCGGAAUUACUGGGCGUAAAGCGUGCGCAGGCGGCGCGUUAAGUCAGGUGUGAAAGCCCCGAGCUUAACUUGGGAAUUGCGCUUGUGACUGGCGUGCUGGAGUGUGGCAGAGGGAGGUGGAAUUCCACGUGUAGCAGUGAAAUGCGUAGAGAUGUGGAGGAACACCGAUGGCGAAGGCAGCCUCCUGGGCCAGCACUGACGCUCAUGCACGAAAGCGUAGGGAGCAAACAGG
rnacentral:rRNA from 1 species